rnacentral:rRNA from 1 species
UACGGAGGGGGCUAGCGUUGUUCGGAAUUACUGGGCGUAAAGCGCACGUAGGCGGACUGUUAAGUCGGGGGUGAAAUCCUGGGGCUCAACCUCAGAGUUGCCUCCGAUACUGGCAGUCUCGAGUGCGGGAGAGGUGAGUGGAAUUCCCAGUGUAGAGGUGAAAUUCGUAGAUAUUGGGAGGAACACCAGUGGCGAAGGCGGCUCACUGGACCGGUUCUGACGCUGAUGCGCGAAAGCGUGGGGAGCGAACAGG